rnacentral:rRNA from 1 species
GUCGAGCGAACUGAUUAGAAGCUUGCUUCUAUGACGUUAGCGGCGGACGGGUGAGUAACACGUGGGCAACCUGCCUGUAAGACUGGGAUAACUUCGGGAAACCGAAGCUAAUACCGGAUAGGAUCUUCUCCUUCAUGGGAGAUGAUUGAAAGAUGGUUUCGGCUAUCACUUACAGAUGGGCCCGCGGUGCAUUAGCUAGUUGGUGAGGUAACGGCUCACCAAGGCAACGAUGCAUAGCCGACCUGAGAGGGUGAUCGGCCACACUGGGACUGAGACACGGCCCAGACUCCUACGGGAGGCAGCAGUAGGGAAUCUUCCGCAAUGGACGAAAGUCUGACGGAGCAACGCCGCGUGAGUGAUGAAGGCUUUCGGGUCGUAAAACUCUGUUGUUAGGGAAGAACAAGUACGAGAGUAACUGCUCGUACCUUGACGGUACCUAACCAGAAAGCCACGGCUAACUACGUGCCAGCAGCCGCGGUAAUACGUAGGUGGCAAGCGUUAUCCGGAAUUAUUGGGCGUAAAGCGCGCGCAGGCGGUUUCUUAAGUCUGAUGUGAAAGCCCACGGCUCAACCGUGGAGGGUCAUUGGAAACUGGGGAACUUGAGUGCAGAAGAGAAAAGCGGAAUUCCACGUGUAGCGGUGAAAUGCGUAGAGAUGUGGAGGAACACCAGUGGCGAAGGCGGCUUUAUGGUCUGUAACUGACGCUGAGGCGCGAAAGCGUGGGGAGCAAACAGGAU